rnacentral:rRNA from 1 species
CCUACGGGAGGCAGCAGUGGGGAAUAUUGCGCAAUGGGCGAAAGCCUGACGCAGCGACGCCGCGUGAGGGAUGAAGGUCUUCGGAUCGUAAACCUCUGUCAGCAGGGAAGAAAGGUCACUGUGCUAAUCAGCAGUGAAUUGACGGUACCUGCACAGGAAGCACCGGCUAACGCCGGGCCAGCAGCCGCGGUAAUACGGAGGGUGCGAGCGUUAAGGGGAAUUACUGGGCGUAAAGCGCUCGUAGGCGGUAUGUCAAGUCAAGGGUGAAAUCCCCUCGCUCAACGAUGGAACUGCCUUUGAAACUGGCAAGCUGGAGUGUGUGAGGGGAUAGUGGAAUUCCAGGUGUAGGAGUGAAAUCCGUAGAUAUCUGGAGGAACAUCAGUGGCGAAGGCGACUAUCUGGCACAUAACUGACGCUGAGGAGCGAAAGCGUGGGUAGCAAACAGGAUUAGAUACCCUAGUAGUC